GACGAACGCUGGCGGCGUGCUUAACACAUGCAAGUCGAACGAAGUGGCGAACGGGUGAGUAACGCGUAAUCAACCUGCCCUUCAGAGGGGGACAACAGUUGGAAACGACUGCUAAUACCGCAUACUGAAGGAGGGGAUUGCGUCUGAUUAGGUAGUUGGAGGGGUAACGGCCCAACAAGGCGAUGAUCAGUAGGCGGUCUUAGAGGAUGAACGGCCAAAUUGGGACUUGGACACGGCCCAGAACUCUACGGGAGGCAGGAGUGGGGAAUUUUCCGCAAUGGACGAAAGUCUGACGGAGCAAAGCCGCGGGGGUGAUGACGGCCUUCGGGUUGGAAAGCUCUUUUAAUCGGGACGCGGUACCGGAAUAGAAAGCCACGGCUAACUACGUGCCAGCAGCCGCGGUAAUAC
rnacentral:rRNA from 1 species